CGCGACCCCAGGUCAGGCGGGACUACCCGCUGAGUUUAAGCAUA
rnacentral:rRNA from 1 species